ensembl:misc_RNA Gm24045 predicted gene, 24045
AGCUGAUCCAAAGGUAGUGAGUUAUCUCAAUGGAUGGUUCACAAUCAGUUACAGAUUAAACUUCCUUCCUCCUCACUGCUGCACUUGACUAGAGAUAG